GGAGGUUGGCUUAGAAGCAGCCAUUCCUUUAAAGAGUGCGUAAUAGCUCACUAGUCAAGCGACUCGGCGUCGAUAAUAAGCGGGCAUAAGUCCGGUGCCGAAGCUGUGGGAUUGAAAGAUCGGUAGGGGAGCAUUCCAGUUGCGUUGAAGGGGUACCCGUGAGGGACCUUGGAGCGUCUGGAAGCGAAACUGUAGGCAUGAGUAACGAUAAGAAGGGUGAAAAACCCUUCCACCGCAAACCCAAGGGUUCCUGAUCAACGCUAAUCGGAUCAGGGUUAGUCGAGACCUAAGGUGUACCCGGUGAGGCCGGGGAAGCCGAUGGCAAAGCGGUUAAAUAUUCCGCUACCUGGUCUAGCGCUAGGCUAAGGCGUGACGCAGAAGUGACACUCCCGCGCCCCGA
rnacentral:rRNA from 1 species